rnacentral:rRNA from 1 species
AGCAGCCGCGGUAAUUCCAGCUCCAAUAGCGUAUAUUAAAGUUGUUGCAGUUAAAAAGCUCGUAGUUGAAUUUCGGGGUUCUUCCGUUGGUCGGGCUAUCCAGUCUGUACUAGCGUGUAGAAUUCCUACCUUCUGGGGAACCAUCAUGUUAUUAAUUUAGCGUGGCGGGAAACCAGGACCUUUACCUUGAAAAAAUUAGAGUGUUCAAAGCAGGCUUACGUCUGAAUACAUUAGCAUGGAAUAAUAGAAUAGGACGGUGGUCCUGUUUUGUUGGUUUCUGAAUCACCGUAAUGAUUAAUAGGGAUAGUUGGGGGCAUUAGUAUUCAAUUGUCAGAGGUGAAAUUCUUGGAUUUAUUGAAGACUAACUUCUGCGAAAGCAUUUGCCAAGGAUGUUUUCAUUAAUCAAGAACGAAAGUUAGGGGAUCGAAGACGAUCAGAUACCGUCGUAGU